UACAGAGGUCCCGAGCGUUAGGCGGAAUCACUGGGCUUAAAGCGUGUGUAGGCGGAUGCCUAAGUACCUUGUGAAAUCCCAUGGCUUAACCAUGGAACUGCUCGGUAUACUGGGUGUCUUGAGCCACUUAGGGGCUACCGGAACAAAUGGUGGAGCGGUGAAAUGCGUAGAUAUCAUUUGGAACGCCAAUGGUGAAAACAGGUAGCUGGGAGUGUGCUGACGCUGAGACACGAAAGCCAGGGGAGCAAACGGG
rnacentral:rRNA from 1 species